rnacentral:rRNA from 1 species
AUUGAACGCUGGCGGCAGGCCUAACACAUGCAAGUCGAACGAGUGGCGGACGGGUGAGUAAUGCUUGGGAAUCUGGCUUAUGGAGGGGGAUAACUACGGGAAACUGUAGCUAAUACCGCAUACCAUCGGAUGAGCCCAAUUGGGCUUAGGUAGUUGGUGGGGUAACGGCUCACCAAGGCGACGAUCUCUAGCUGGUCUGAGAGGAUGACCAGCCACACUGGGACUGGGACACGGUCCAGACUCCUACGGGAGGCAGCAGGGGGGAAUAUUGCGCAAUGGGGGCAAGCCUGAGGCAGCCAUGCCGCGUGAAUGAAGAAGGCCUUCGGGUUGUAAAGUUCUUUCAGGAGGGAGGCGUUAACCACAGAAGAAGCACCGGCUAACUCCGUGCCAGCAGCCGCGGUAAUUC